UACGGGGGAUGCAAGCGUUAUCCGGAUUUAUAGGGCGUAAAGCGCCUGUAGGUUGUUUAAUAAGUCUGUUGUUAAAGACUAGGGCUUAACCCUAGGAAAGCAAUGGAAACUACUAGACUUGAGUAUGAUAGGGGUAGAGGGAAUUUCUAGUGUAGCGGUGAAAUGCGUAGAUAUUAGAAAGAACACCGGUGGCGAAGGCGCUCUACUGGAUCAUUACUGACACUCAGAGGCGAAAGCUAGGGGAGCAAAAGGGAUUAGAUACCCCUGUAGUCCUAGCCGUAAACGAUGGAUACUAGGUGUUGUAUUUUUUUUACAGUAUCGUAGCUAACGCGUUAAGUAUCCCGCCUGGGGAGUACGCUCGCAAGGGUG
rnacentral:rRNA from 1 species